rnacentral:rRNA from 1 species
UACGGAAGGCAGCAGUGGGGAAUAUUGCACAAUGGGCGCAAGCCUGAUGCAGCCAUGCCGCGUGUAUGAAGAAGGCCUUCGGGUUGUAAAGUACUUUCAGUCGUGAGGAAGGUGUUAAGGUUAAUAACCUUAGCAAUUGACGUUAGCGGCAGAAGAAGCACCGGCUAACUCCGUGCCAGCAGCCGCGGUAAUACGGAGGGUGCGAGCGUUAAUCGGAAUUACUGGGCGUAAAGGGCACGCAGGCGGUUAAUUAAGUUGGAUGUGAAAUCCCCGGGCUUAACCUGGGAAUGGCAUUCAAGACUGGUUAGCUAGAGUCUUGUAGAGGGGGUAGAAUUCCAUGUGUAGCGGUGAAAUGCGUAGAGAUGUGGAGGAAUACCGGUGGCGAAGGCGGCCCCUGGACAAAGACUGACGCUCAUGUGCGAAAGCGUGGGGAGCAAAACAGGGAUUAGAUACC